UAAAGAAAACCCAUUGAAUUAGAAAGGUGUGUCCAAACUUUUGGUCUGUACUGUGUGUAUAUAUAUAAAGAAAACGCUUGUCAAACCUUCUGGAGAAUUAUGAUAUUCAAAUUAGCAAUUAUAAUCUAUGUGAAGCUUAAAGUUAUUAGAUCUUGAUAGAAGUCCCAGUGGAGUUGGGAUGUGGUGUUGCCACUAGAGGUCUCAAUGGACCUGUGAUUAUAACUUUACUCUGAAAUGGACUCAAUAGCCAGAAUCUAAUAAGAUCACAUUCAACUUCUCUUUAUAAUGUCGCAGGGAACUAAUGCAGGUCAGUCUGUCAGCACAAACUCCACAGCAUAUUAGAUGGUGGAUUAAUUGGAGUAAAGCUAAUAUAAAAGCUGUUGAGAACUCGGGUGUAGCUUUUAUUUACCACUUAUGCUGUCUGAUAAACAAAGGUUCUAAAAUAAAUGUUAUUGUGUAAAGAGAGAACACAUUCUGUUAUGAAAACUAGACUUUUAUAUGGUGCUUGUUCCUGAUACUAAAAUACUAAGAGGCUACAUGCAUAAUUUAAUUCACAAGUCAAUACAGGAUGGCUAUUAAUAGCUUAAUGUGGACUUAAUAUUUGGUGGUAAAGAAGAGAAAAACAGGAAAUCGUACGUGAACUUCUGACAUGAAAGCGAAAUUUGAAAAUGCUUCGACUAAUGUCGUCACCUUAUUGUGAGAAGUUAACAAAUAGGCUAUAUUAAGAAUUUUUAGAUUAAUAACACUUUAAUAAGAGUAUUCAUAAAACUCGCAUGAAAAGUGUGUGUUAAGCUUCUUUUGCGUGACUAACUUUAGUCAUAGUUAAAAGAUAUGGGACUUGUGACUCUUCCUACCUUUAGGCAUAAAUGCUUUCUCAAACAAUGACACGCAUCAGAAAUUUAUUAGGUGACAGAAUGUCAGACCAGACUGGUUCAGCAGCUGUAUUAACACCCUGGCACUACAGACAGUAGCACAGUGUGUGGAAGACACUUAGGGCCAAUGAGUUCAGCAUGUUACCCCCCCCCCCCCCCCCCCCCAAGGUUUUAAUGUGGAUACCUAAAGCAGAACAUCUAAAACGAAAUUUUAGCCACUCACUGGCAAAACACAGUAAAACAUAAUUUAAAAACAAAAUCUCUCACUACCUGAAAGAAUCUUUUGAAAACCAAGUUUAAAGGCAGCAAAAAUGGUAUUUGUGAAUCUUGAAUAUGUACGAAGUAAAGAAGAAAAAAAAGAUUUAGAGAUUAUAUCAUAAGUAUGCUGAUAAGCAUCAUGGUACUAUCCUAAAAGAGUAGAAAACUUAAGCUUUUGACUUUUGGCAGAGUGUAGAUCCAUUAAAAUGUUACAUCCAGGAAUUAGAUUUUUUUUAUAUGAAUGGGACAUACGGUGUAGUUCAAAGCUCAAAACAACUACACCUCCUCUCAAAACAUGCAAUGUCUGCCAAGUCAAACAAUAUCAGAUUCCAAAAUUUUAAAAAAUUAAAACAAGGUAUAACCUUGAAACUGCAGAAAACACACUAGGGAGAAAAUGCCUUCCCUUAAAAGAACGCAUUUUAAGUGGAUAAUAUGUUAUCCACUUAUUAUUAAAAUAUUUCCAGGAAAAAAAAUUAAAUAAAAAAUGUAGAAGUUGUUUUAAGAUAUUCUGCAUCACCAGCCUGCACAGAUGUAGAUAGAUUAGUACCAGGAUAAAAGACACCACAUCCCCUGUCAAAAAGCACAUCGACAGUUAAGUCACAGUAGAAAGAAAUAUUUAAAUACAAGCAUCUGUAACACUGUCUGGAUAAAAUAUGUGCGUCCAAGCACAAUUGAUGCAAGAUUCAUUUACUGUGCUUGGGGGUGGGGAAAAAAAUCUAAGCAAUUCCUUUUAAAAAUAGAAGAAAAAAAAAAAUUCUCCUUGAUCAUGUGAAUUUCGGUGUUUUCUUUUUCUAGACUAAUAUUUACAAAAAAUAUAUAUUUUAUGUUACAAAGCUGCAUGUGGAAAAAGUGUCUCUCUGUGUGUGUAACAGUAAAAAGGAAAGGUGCAUGCUUGUAAAUUUUAAACUGAAGUUCCAGCAACAAACGCUUCACCUUGCUCAUCAGGCACAAAUCAGGAAGCAUGCUCGGACAAGUCACCUUCAAUGCUCAGCCUUUUUAACCCAUUCCUGACACUUGCUCCCUGCACAAUGACCUCAAAGAGUCACCUGACCCUGAGGCUGAAAGGUCAAGUAUAACCUCCUCCACCCUACUGGGUUCAGGGACAUUGACAUGACAACCCAUCAGCACCCCGGAUCAAGUAUCUGGCCUGGCCUCUUCUGGCCAGUGGUACAGACCUGCAUAAGCACAGACUAAGAAAUGGCAUCAUGUGGGAAAAUACUCCUCAUCUAUCCGCAUAAAAAGAUAAAUGUUUGGGGGAAAAAAAAUCUGAUUGAUAAAUACACCGACUUAUCUAUUUAUUUAUUUUUUACUCUUGUAUUACAUGUUGGGGGGGGGAAAAAACAGGUACUUUCAAAAGAAGGAAAGAAAAAAAAAAAAUAAGAGGGAGGCAGAUUAACACCAGCUGUUUCCUCAGCUGAAUUAACACUUUACAAGUUUGGGCAACAAUUAAAAAAAAAAAAAAAGCUACAGAGGCAGGGAACUUUGUUCUGCUUCAUGCAGAAAUGGGAAAUCUUAAUCCCAGAUAAGGCAGUAACUCUUGCACACCCAGUGAAGCACUAAAAGCAGAGGCUUGGUAGGUGAGGGCCACAUGGACUAAUUUUUUAUCGUGGGACAAUAGCAGAGGGUUCUUCCUCUUUAGGUACACACUAACCUAUCCAUGUACUGUUAAAGUGCAACUCUGAUAGCCGACUCUCUAAAUUUGUUAAGAAGUGUAGAUUCAUAAAGACAAACCUGAACGCAAAGCUAAAAUAAAUUUUAAAAAAAUAUCCAUACUGUCUCACUUGUAGUGUCACUAUUUAUUUGACUGCAACUGUCCGCUUGAUUUGCUAACAAAAUUAUGUCCUACAUUAUUUACAGAACAUCUCUGUUAAGGUUUACCACUUAAGUGUAACUAAAUAUUUUUAGCAGAUCCAGUGUAAAUCAGGGCUGCAAAUGUAAAGCUUCCCCAAGGACUCACAACACUGUUUCCUCUAAAUACAUCAGUUCGCCCACGAUGAGUCAGGUGAAAUAUUUAAUCCAAACUCAACAAGUGCACCUAUUCCCACAAUGUAAGGACCAACUUUGCAGGGGCUCAGUCCUCAGCAAAUACAUUUAGAUUUCAUUUGAAUCAUCCGAGGGCUCCGCUCACUCUUUACAUAAAACAAAGGAGCAAAAACAGACAACACACCUCACAAUAAUUGAAAUUCAUAUGUAUGACCAGGGAACUCAGUUUAAACUUAAGUCAUCAAAAAGUACCUAGAAGAAAUAAUAAUAAAAAAAAACUAAAAAAAUAGAGAAACUGUCCUGUCGUCCUUUUUUUCUGCUAUCCUUGUAAAGCACUGCAUGCAAAAGAACAGCAAUGUUUAAACUGAGUAUGCUGCAUUUGCAGACUCCCUUGUGCAAGUGGGGCAAAAGAGGAAGCAAGCCAAAAGUGUGAGAGCAGGCUCACACGCCUAUUCACUUGUGGAGCAAUUACUGAAACACAACCUAAACUGUUAUUUAAAAAUAAAUAAAUGAAAAUACACGUAUAUUUAGAUGCCACAAACUGGAGUGAUUCAAAGUGUAAGAAAGUAUUUCCCCUCCCACUUGUGCUUCAUCAUCUUUUAUGCUAAAAGAAUGAAACCUUGCAGUGACAUUCAAUUUGACUGUUGUAUAUUAUUUACAAAGGUAUAAAGAAAAUUAUGUGGUGGUAUAAUUAUAAGUUGUGUGAUUACAAAAAUUCCUAGCAGCUCCAUAUUUGGCCCAGCAACACGUCUAGCUCUGUGCUGACAAAUACACAUAAGCAGAUCAACAUCAAAUACAACAGUGACGACAGAAGUACAUGUAAUACAGAACUUAGUGGAAAAAUUUUACAAUAAACAUUCUUAUGAGAUUAUAUUUAUUUAUACAUCUACAUAUAUAUAAAGUGACAUGAUGUGUAUCAAUAGUGGCAAGCAAAAAAAAAAAAAAUUAAUUAAUUAAAAAGAUGAACACGUGCAUUCUUAAUUAUUUAAAGGUUAAAAGAAAAAUUGCACUGAUUUGCAAUUUUUAAAUUACAAAUAUAGAGUCCAAAACUAAAAGUCACCGAAACACCAUGCGUGUUUUGCUGCAAGUGCUUUUUACAAAUAAUCAUUUUACCACCUAAAAUUUAAUAAUGACUUGACAUUCAGUUUAAAAAAAAAUAAAAUAAAACAUUUAAAGAUAUUGCCUAAAUACACUGUGUUUACAGUACAUAACCUAACUGUGGGACUAUGGAUUUUCACAUUUUCAGUUCAUGUCAUAUUAAAUCUUCACCUACACAUCUCACAGUAACGCAUAUUGCUAAAAAAAAAAAAAAAGGGCAACAUUUUAAAUGAGAAGCAAGUCUUCGCUGUAAAGUCAUUUUAAGAAUAACAGUAGAAAAAGCUAGAGCAAAACCUUUGCAUACAGAACUUCUGCAAGAACUUUCUUUAAUUACAUGCUGUGUUGCCACUACUGACAUGAACCUGAACCAACAUCAUGCAAAAGAAAACGCUUUCCUUCCCUCGAGACGGCAUCUUAACUUUUUUUUUUUUUUGCAAUUUCAGUAAAUCCUUGACUAAAAAGACAACCGUUUCACUGAUUACAGAACUUGAAUUAUAUCUGGAGAAAAAGUGACUGAAAUGUGACAGCUUCUGUUUUAUGCAAAUCAGAUGCAGAACUGAAACCAGGGCCAAUACCUGGAAAUGAACCAACAGGACCCAUGAAAACGGUUCCUGUCAAAACAAAUUUGAAUACUAUAAAGUUUAUGCUGAGUAGUGCAAAAAGAAGGCAGAGAAAGAGGAGGGUGGGUGGAGAGGGGGUUCUGCAGUCUGGUUACAAACACAUGUGAGCAAAUGCAAAAGAGGAACAGUUUCACCAGGAAAUGGGGGGUGGGAGCCCAUUUUGCCAGAGGGGUCUGAGGAGACAGAAUGAUGAGUCACAGAAUGUCAAGCUGGCAGUCUGAAACAGCACAACAGUGCACUACAAAGAGGGUGAAAAGGUAAAUACCAGAGUGUGGAGUGGAAACAUAAACCUGUAGCAUUUAAAGCAGAUUAUCACUACAGGGUGGAAUAUCAUGUGCUAACACAAGCAGCUGUUUCUUCACAAAAAGUAUUCAUCUAACAUGUCCGGGUACGUCAGAUACUUCAUGGAAAAAUCUGUUACCAAAGGUGAAAAAAGUACAAAUACAAUUCAUGACUCCUGAUUGUAAAAAAUUCACUUUGAUAUCUAUUAUGUAACAAACAAGGAAAUAUACUUAAAACUAUGUAGGGGGAAAUAUUAGAGGAUUACUUGAGCAAAGUCAAUUUAAUUUCAGUGAUGCUGCCUUGCCUGAAAAAUAAAGGCACCCCUUCAAAAUCACCCGAUUGGAUUUCAAAGAUCUGAUGCUUAUGGCUGCAAAAUGUCUAAUGUAUUUUUUUGUAUGCACAUGACACGCUCCAUGUAGGUCAGCACUCUCCCCCACCCCCCCAUUCUUUUUUUAGAUGUCUAUGGCGUGUCAGCAAUUUGCCUUCUAAUCUUAGAUUUUAAAAACAAUGUGGGUAAAAUGCCAGAACAUCACAACAAGAUUUAGCUCGAAGGUAUAGAUAUAAAAAAAAAUGUCAAGAAGCCCUUGCAGAAUAUUUUGACAGCUCAAUGCCAAUAUUGUCCCAUCAAGCUUGUUGACCAUAACUUCUUAUUUACAUCCAUGCUGCUCAUCAAUUUCAUUAACAAUAAAUAUUCAUAAUUUUUUUUUAACAAGAGUAAAAUGGAAACUUGGAGCAAAUUCAAGUGAUUUACACAUUUUACUCCAUAUUCUAAAUCAUAUAAUCACACAUAUUGAAACCUAAAACAUAACAAUAAUAUUUAAAGUGGCCUUCAUCCUGACCCUGACAUUUAAGUUCUGCAGCUGUACAAUAAUUUACUUGCUGUGUGUUCAUAACAAUUUUCCAUCACAGCAGAUUAGCCAGUUUCUCUCUGAACAAAAUGCCCACAAAGAUAACCAAAAUCUUACCAGAUGAGCAGAGCAGUUUCACAAUGAAUAUGCUGCCCCAAUUCAGAAACAUCUAUUAUAUUAAAGUGCCACGAGAAAAUACUAACGAUAACAGAGCUGCUUAGCUACAUUUCCAUUCAACUCCUGUGUGUCAUGUAUUUAAAAUGACAGCACACACACACACACACACACAAAAAAAACUAUAAGUAAGCACACUUCCAGAUGUGAGGAGGCUUGGCGAGGGAAAAAAAAGGCAGUUCAAGUUUACAGAGGUGACUGCCGUGUCUCAUUUCAGAGCAUUUGAGUUAUUUUUUGAAAUGAUCUAUAAAUCUAUUUAACUGUGUUCACACGAAUGUCUCUAAAUAAGUUAAAGCUAUAAAACUAUGAAAAAGGCCUCACGUUAUGCAACACAUCAAACCGAUCUCUACUUGCAAGGAAGUAAAAGGGGCGGGUUCACACGAUCAAAUACAUAGAGCUCCCAUUUUUCUUCUUAUUUCCAGAAAGAGAUACAAAAAAAUAUAUACAAUAUAUAGCUGCAUAAUAUAAUCGCAUUUAAGGGUGCUAUGAUGAUGAGUGACUCUGGUCUGUCAACCUUCAUCCUACGAGAAAACCACGAGGUAUUCUGCCUACACUUAAAAAUAAAUCAGUCAUCAGGAUAUAGAAAAAGUGCAGCGAUGCCUAAACGGGUGAAAAGGGGCAAAUGGAAGCAGAAAGCGACGCCCGAAAGCCAAACUACGAUGAUCCAAAACUCCAGACAUCAAAGUUAGGCGGGAGAAGCACCGAAAAUAUAUAUUUUUUCACGUUAUUAAUUUAAAUUCAUAACAUGGUUUCUAAUCAGGAUAACUAUUCGUUACAUUAAGGACUGCUACAAUUCAAGUGAAAUAAUCUGAAGUUGAAGUCGUAGUUUGCUGUCACUUGGCUUGGAGCCACAUAGAUCAUCUAACGCUCACUGUAAGGUAUUCGCAUCUUUUAAGAGAGAAAAAAAAAAAGCGAAUGCGAAGCAUUUGACAGGAUAAAAUCACAGUGAAGUGCCAUUAGUAUACAAAUUUUCACUUGUCAUUUACAGUCAUUUUUGUAGCUUAAGAAGACAUCUAGCUAACUUUUAAAAAAAAAAAAUUAUUGUCAUUACUAGUUUUGAGCUCACAGAGCGAUAUAAUGACAAACUUACCAGGUGUCCUCUGUCAAACAACCUCGGAAGUCCACAUAUCCCAAUUCACAAGCCCGAACAAAAUGUCUGCCUUUGCUAACAAGAUCGUUAAAAUUAAGUUACUACAAAAAGCACAGUGUCCGUCCCGGUCUUCCAUUUGGAUUUUUUUUUUCCCUCCCAGGGCAAUGCAAGUGCCGUGUGCAUUUGUUGACACUACCGACUCUCCGCUGCCUCAAACCUGGCAGCUUCUGCGCCUCCCGCUCAAACAUGGUCAAUGUAGAAAAAAAAAAA